CAUUAACAGAGUUUUGACACCUGUAUACCUGUAUUUCUACCAAUCACCUCUGUAACCUUUGUUGUAAUCGUCAGACAGGUUCCCCUACAGAUUCACAAAGUUCCAAUGUUGAAUUUCCAUGACCCCUAUUCAUCCAUGACAGAAAAAGGAAUAAAGUUGACAGGACUUUCAUCACUGCCCUUUAACUGGUAGCAGUUUACGUUUAGACAGCAGAAGACAUAGCCAGUUUCAUCAAAGAUGCACCAGAUGCCUUGGCACUAUCUCCAUCACUGGUGAAAUGGGAAAUGACUAGUAGACCGUCAUCACUUAAUAUUUUUAACUCACCAAUGCAUAAUUUGAGGCCAAUCUCUUCUCAUCUCCGAUGGUGGUCUCCAGAGGAAUGGUUGCAGUGCAGUCUUCGUGUCCUGGGCCUUUCCUUCUCAGGUCUGUUGCACAUGGGUGGCUGAAGCUGGUUCAAUAUUUCCACCAAGAAGCAUACCAUGCAUACCCUCUGUAGUAAUGCUGGUACCCAAGUGACCGAUAACCAUGGCCAUAUUUAGCUGUGCAGCUCUUCAUCCCCUUCCAGAUCUCCUCACCUCUUCGUAAAGCUUUUCUCAUUGACUGGUGUAGUGGCACUUCUUACAUCGGAUAAAAGGAUCCAUGCCAGGCCUCGU